CAUGCAAGUCGAGCGGAGAGAGGUAGCUUGCUACUGAUCUUAGCGGCGGACGGGUGAGUAAUGCUUAGGAAUCUGCCUAUUAGUGGGGGACAACAUUUCGAAAGGAAUGCUAAUACCGCAUACGUCCUACGGGAGAAAGCAGGGGAUCUUCGGACCUUGCGCUAAUAGAUGAGCCUAAGUCGGAUUAGCUAGUUGGUGGGGUAAAGGCCUACCAAGGCGACGAUCUGUAGCGGGUCUGAGAGGAUGAUCCGCCACACUGGGACUGAGACACGGCCCAGACUCCUACGGGAGGCAGCAGUGGGGAAUAUUGGACAAUGGGCGCAAGCCUGAUCCAGCCAUGCCGCGUGUGUGAAGAAGGCCUUAUGGUUGUAAAGCACUUUAAGCGAGGAGGAGGCUACUUUAGUUAAUACCUAGAGAUAGUGGACGUUACUCGCAGAAUAAGCACCGGCUAACUCUGUGCCAGCAGCCGCGGUAAUACAGAGGGUGCAAGCGUUAAUCGGAUUUACUGGGCGUAAAGCGCGCGUAGGCGGCUAAUUAAGUCAAAUGUGAAAUCCCCGAGCUUAACUUGGGAAUUGCAUUCGAUACUGGUUAGCUAGAGUGUGGGAGAGGAUGGUAGAAUUCCAGGUGUAGCGGUGAAAUGCGUAGAGAUCUGGAGGAAUACCGAUGGCGAAGGCAGCCAUCUGGCCUAACACUGACGCUGAGGUGCGAAAGCAUGGGGAGCAAACAGGAUUAGAUACCCUGGUAGU
rnacentral:rRNA from 1 species